rnacentral:tRNA from 1 species
AUUACUAUAACUUAUAAAGAGUAUUACAUUGAAGCUGUAAAGGAGGCUUAGCCUAGUAAUA